AUGCCUGGUUUCCCCAAGAGGCCCGACUCGGGUCCAUCUGCUGCUUGUCCACACCCGCCACACGCACACUGUCAGUGUAAGCGGCCGGCCGGGCUCCACCUCCAGCACGAGGACCAUCGGUCUGCCACCAGGAGCCGCGGCGACCUGCGCAGACCGCGGGGCUGGACAACUCCUCUUCCGACUAGCUGGACUGUUGCUGUGGGUUGGACCGCAUUUCCCAAGGCUGUUUUGGCAGUAAUGCCUGUGACGCCAAGGACUCUUCACCCAGAAUGUUACAAAAACCCUUCAGUAUCUGUACUAUCAGUUCAGUUCAGCUCAGUCGCUCAGUCGUGUCCGACUCUGCGACCCCAUGAACUGCAGAACCCAGGCCACCCUGUCCAUCACCAACCCCCGGAGUUCACUCAGACUCACGUCCAUCGAGCCGGUGAUGCCACCCACCCAUCUCCUCCUCUGUCAUCCCCUUCUCCUGCCCUCAAUCUUUCAGGCUAUUUUCCAACGAGUCAGCUCUUCGCAUCAGGUGGCCAAAGUAUUGGAGUUUCAGCUUCAACAUCAGUCCUUCCAAUGAACACUCAGGACUGAUCUCCUUUAGGAUGGACUGGUUGGAUCUCCUUGCAGUCCAAGGGACUCUCAAGUGUCUUCUCCAACACCACAGUUCAAAAGCAUCAAUUUUUAGGUGCUCAGCUUUCUUUAUAGUCCAACUCUCACAUCCAUACAUGACUACUGGAAAAACCACAGCCUUGACUAGACAGACCUUUGUUGGCAAAGUCAUGUCUCUGCUUUUCAAUAUGCUGUCUAGGUUGGUCAUAACUUUCCUUCCAAGGAGUAAGUGUCUUUUAAUUUCAUGGCUGCAAUCACCAUCUGCAG
rnacentral:lncRNA from 1 species